AAGUGUUCUUCGGAGUACUGAGUAAACUGGCGAACGGGUGCGUAACACGUAGGUAACCUGCCCUUCGGUUGGGGAUAACCCUGCUAAAGCGGGGCUAAUACCGGAUGUAGUUCAGGCAACAUAAGUUGGCUGAAUAAAAGAUGCCUUCGGGUAUUGCCAAAGGAUGGACCUGCGCCCCAUUAGCUUGUUGGUGAGGUAGUGGCUCACCAAGGCCUUGAUGGGUAGCCGACCUGAGAGGGUGAUCGGCCACACUGGGACUGAGAUACGGCCCAGACUCCUACGGGAGGCAGCAGUGAGGAAUAUUGCGCAAUGGGCGAGAGCCUGACGCAGCAACGCCGCGUGAGUGAUGAAGCUCUAAGGAGCGUAAAGCUCUGUUAGGAGGGAAGAACUGUAUUAGUUCGAAUAGGGCUAGUACUUGACGGUACCUCCAGAGAAAGCCCCGGCUAACUCCGUGCCAGCAGCCGCGGUAAUACGGGGGGGGCAAGCGUUGUCCGGAAUUAUUGGGCGUAAAGGGCGUGUAGGCGGAAUAGUGUGUCAGAGGUGCAAACUACGGGCUUAACUCGUAGCCUGCCUUUGAAACUGCUAUUCUUGAGUGCGGGAGAGGAAAGUGGAAUUCCUGGUGUAGCGGUGAAAUGCGUAGAUAUCAGGAAGAACACCGGUAGCGAAGGCGGCUUUCUGGCCCGCAACUGACGCUGAGGCGCGAAAGCGUG
rnacentral:rRNA from 1 species